AGUAGGUACUUUUCAUAACACACAGUUAAAAUCAAACAGUUCAUCUCAUUGGUGCAAUCAGGAUUCGUCAAAAGAGGGGGAGGGUCCAAACAUAAAUGAUUUCAUUGCACAAUAAAAUAAAAUUGUUUUAUAUACGUAAUGAUUAAUCAAAUGUUAAUAAUCUUAUAGUCUAUAGGAACUAAAGGACUAAGUGAAACACCAUAUAACUAUCACAAGCAACAAAGAAAUGCGUUAAUGAUUAAAAUAUAUAAUAGCAAUACUGAAUACAUGUUGCAUUAAUACAUAACUACACAAAACUUUGAAUUAAAAAGUAAAGUUUUUAUUUUUCUACAAUUUAAUAUUUGCCUUAAGUACGUGACUACUUAAAAUAAUAUAAUAUGUAAUAUUCACAGUGAAAAAUCCAUCUGUCGUUUUUCCAAUGUCGCUACGCUCGAAUGUUGAUAAACAUAUUUUUAUUAAAAAAAAAAACUAAGUAAGCAAUUAAAACAAACAAAUGAAGUGUUCGGCCGAACAACGGGAAGUACUAGUCUCGGCAAUAUUGCGUUUAUCGGUGGAAUUCAGGUGAAAUAGUAAUAUUUCAUGUAAAAUCGUUUUUUUUUUGUACUUUAAUUGAUAAAAAUGAAUUAAUUAUGUGAGACCAAUACAUAUUUCCAAUAAUAUAAUUUUCAAUACACUGUAGUAUCAAAGUGUUGAUCUUUAGUAAUUUGUAAUUAGCUUGAGG